rnacentral:rRNA from 1 species
GAUGAACGCUGGCGGCGUGCUUAACACAUGCAAGUCGAACGAAGCACCUCUCCCGAAGAUUGACACAGCUUGCUGUAGAUUGAUUCAUUUGAGGUGACUGAGUGGCGGACGGGUGAGUAACGCGUGGGUAACCUGCCUCAUAGAGGGGGACAACAGUUGGAAACGACUGCUAAUACCGCAUAGUAAGAAGAAUUCGCAUGUUUUCUUCUUGAAAGAUUUAUCGCUAUGAGAUGGACCCGCGUCUGAUUAGCUAGUUGGUAAGGUAACGGCUUACCAAGGCGACGAUCAGUAGCCGGCUUGAGAGAGUGAACGGCCACAUUGGUACUGAGACACGGCCCAAACUCCUACGGGAGGCAGCAGUGGGGAAUAUUGCACAAUGGGGGAAACCCUGAUGCAGCGACGCCGCGUGAGUGAAGAAGUAUUUCGGUAUGUAAAGCUCUAUCAGCAGGGAAGAUAAUGACGGUACCUGACUAAGAAGCCCCGGCUAACUACGUG